rnacentral:snRNA from 1 species
ACAUAUAAAUUUUUGCAGCCAU